CCCGCUUCUCACCAGGAAAUCUGCACUCCCUUCCAGGCCCUGGAUGGUUCCUGGGCGCCCCUGGAAGAGACAUACGAAGAUGGAAUCCAAUCUGGCCCUUCCCCACCCCAAACCCCUUCCCUAGGAGCACAUGGCCACGUGGGACAUCUGAGGACACUCACCGGUUUCCCAGGAGGUCCUGGGGGCCCUGCUGGCCCUUGUGGUCCUGAAUCUCCCUGGAAGCAAGAGCCCAGUCAUUGCACCAUCCAGCCCAGCCCCUAAUAUCUCUGCCCCUCCUCCAUCCUACCACCGCCCUACCCACUGGACCCCCCAAGACACUUCCUGUGAGUCACCAGUGUGGGGAAAUGGGGAGGGGACUGGCAGGAGAUGGUGCCAGCCCUCAGACUCCCCGAAAAGGAGGGUGGGCUCAGCAGGACAGAUUUCCGUGUCAGACCUGGGGAGGUCCCCUCUGGCCAGCAGCAGGCUCAGAAACUCCUGAAGAGCCCACUCCAGCUCGCCAGCCUGGAGGCAGAGGGCAGGAGGCAGGGUGAGUAGACAAGGCUGGGGCUCACCUUGGGCCCUGGGAUUCCGAUCUCACCAGGGAGACCAACAGGUCCAGGUUGCCCCUGGGAAGCAGAGACUUGGAUGUCCAGGAUGCCUCAGGGAGUCAGUCCAGCCAGGACAGGAAGGUCUGGGACACUGCCCUAUCACUGAGGACUUACAGGAGGUCCAGCGAAACCAGGACCCUACAACAGAAGAAAAGGAAAUUAGGUUCACAGCUCCCUCUACCUGUCCUCCCUACCUGUGGGAGAUGUCUCAGAGCCUGCACAGGUGGUACUCACCGGCAGGCCAGGGGGACCUGGGAGCCCAGGCUGGCCCUGUAGGGACAAUGGGAGAGACUCAGAGACGGGGGAUCCUGGUCUCUACUGCAGUCCCUCCCAAAGUCGGGUCCUAGAUUACCCACAAAGUCCUCAGCAGGCCACUUGCCUUGACUCCAGGUGUUCCCAUGGGACCAGGCUCUCCCUUGGCUCCAGUUAAACCCUGGGAAGAAAAAGAAGAUGACUGUCACCAUGCCCCUGGGGCUGGAGGCCUUGGGGGCUUCUGGGAGUUCUGUGGUAUCAGCUAAAUAAUGCUCUUCUACUGAGUUGGCGAAAAGAAAAGGGAACACACAAGGACAGCCCUCUCCAGAGAGCGGAAGCCUCUGGACCCCGGUUCCCGUGAUUCAGUGCCCCAGAGGAGGGUGUGAGGUUCCAGUAAGGUUGCAAGUCAUGUGAAACUACGGGGGCUCACAGCUGGGCAGUCUCCACCCUGAACAGGUAUGGAAGGAAGCCAGACCAGGCUUCAGUCAGUAGCUGGGGCCCUCCCCUGUUCGGUGCAGGCACUCACAUCAAUCCCUGGCUUCCCAUCCGGCCCAUCUGGCCCUGGUCUGCCAGGCUCUCCCUUGAGCCCCUUGAAAACAGAAGUGGAGCAAAUAUUAGCCAGA